rnacentral:piRNA from 1 species
UGCGUGUCUUCGUUGGCACCAGGUGU